GACGAACGCUGGCGGCGUGCUUAACACAUGCAAGUCGAACGGAAAGGCCCUGCUUUUGUGGGGUGCUCGAGUGGCGAACGGGUGAGUAACACGUGAGUAACCUGCCCUUGACUUUGGGAUAACUUCAGGAAACUGGGGCUAAUACCGGAUAGGAGCUCCUGCUGCAUGGUGGGGGUUGGAAAGUUUCGGCGGUUGGGGAUGGACUCGCGGCUUAUCAGCUUGUUGGUGGGGUAGUGGCUUACCAAGGCUUUGACGGGUAGCCGGCCUGAGAGGGUGACCGGCCACAUGGGGACUGAGAUACGGCCCAGAGUCCUACGGGAGGCAGGAGUGGGGAAUAUUGCACAAUGGGCCGAAGCCUGAUGCAGCAACGCCGCGUGCGGGAUGACGGCCUUCGGGUUGGAAACCGCUUUCGCCUGUGACGAAGCGUGAGUGACGGUAAUGGGUAAAGAAGCACCGGCUAACUACGUG
rnacentral:rRNA from 1 species